rnacentral:rRNA from 1 species
CCUACGGGAGGCAGCAGUGAGGAAUAUUGGUCAAUGGACGCAAGUCUGAACCAGCCAUGCCGCGUGCAGGAAGACGGCUCUAUGAGUUGUAAACUGCUUUUGUACGAGGGUAAACGCAGAUACGCGUAUCUGUCUGAAAGUAUCGUACGAAUAAGGAUCGGCUAACUCCGUGCCAGCAGACGCGGUAAUACGGAGGAUUCAAGCGUUAUCCGGAUUUAUUGGGUUUAAAGGGUGCGUAGGCGGUCGGAUAAGUUAGAGGUGAAAUCCCGAGGCUCAACUUCGGAAUUGCCUCUGAUACUGUUCGGCUAGAGAGUAGUUGCGGUAGGCGGAAUGUAUGGUGUAGCGGUGAAAUGCUUAGAGAUCAUACAGAACACCGAUUGCGAAGGCAGCUUACCAAGCUACUUCUGACGUUGAGGCACGAAAGCGUGGGGAGUAAACAGGAUUAGAUACCUGGUAGUC